UACGUAGGUGGCAAGCGUUAUCCGGAUUUAUUGGGCGUAAAGGGAACGCAGGCGGUCUUUUAAGUCUGAUGUGAAAGCCUUCGGCUUAACCGGAGUAGUGCAUUGGAAACUGGGAGACUUGAGUGCAGAAGAGGAGAGUGGAACUCCAUGUGUAGCGGUGGAAUGCGUAGAUAUAUGGAAGAACACCAGUGGCGAAAGCGGCUCUCUGGUCUGUAACUGACGCUGAGGUUCGAAAGCGUGGGUAGCAAACAGG
rnacentral:rRNA from 1 species